ensembl:lncRNA
AAUGUACUGUUGAAACUGCACUUGCAAUAGCUCAGGGAUUAAAUGUGUAGUUAUGCUAGUUUACACUGACAGAGAGGCGAGUUUCAGUCAUCCGGCCCACUGAAGACCAAUGUGGGUUGUAAGUGAUCCAUGAUGUAAAAUGAGCUUGACAUCCCCUCCUUAAACUGACGCAGCUGAUCUAACAUUUUCGGAAACGAAAUGAUUUGCUUUCAUGCAAGUGAAUCCAAAUUAAUCCAAUGCAUCAGCCUGCUUUAAUAAACGGAAAAGUCCUCCAAAUAUCAGCCAAUAAAUUAAGCUGACAAAACAUUAGGUUUUUCAAAGUAAGGUCAAAUAUCUACACUCGCAAAAUGAUUACACUAGUUUAGCAUAAACACUGGAAGCAGUGAGGGAAAAAGUACUUUGCCUGUCUGAAAGUUAAAAAAAAUAAAUAAAUAAAUGCCUUCCAGCACAUCCGGAGGCUCAGAAACAAGCACCUUUUGUUCAGUAAUUCCAUAUAAAAACCAAACUGCAAAGGUGCCAAGUUAGAAAUUUCAGUUUAUAUUGAUUUCUUUUUUUCUUUUUUUUGAAGCAGGGUAUUUUGUGUAUGGGAGCAGUUACUUGCUCGGGUAAAUUACAUUUGUUGUAGGUGUGAGAGAAACAUUUUUAUAUGGAUUUUCUGAAGUCUUUCUGAAUCUCUCCAGCUCACGCUUUUCCAACAGAAAUAUUGAUGAUUCUGCAGUGGUUGGAUGUAUAACUAAUGGGCGAGAGUAGGAUUGAAUGAUUUUGUGGAGUGAAGUGGUCUGGAAGGGAGAGUUAUCGGCCUCUGAAUGUGAAAAAGGUCAGAGAGAUGGUGAGGAUCUCUAUAUUUACCUGAAGGUACCUGAACGUCUACAUCGAUCACAGGCCGAACUGGAAGACAAAUCCUGAGUCCUUUCAGUGUGUGCCAUAAGAUGUUGUGAGUGCUGUGCACUUUGCUGUGGUCUGCUGAGGGAGCACCAUUAGAGUUGAUCACACCAACAGACUGACUAGACUGAUCAGGAAGGCUGGCGCUGUGAUACUGAAGCUGUGGUGGAGAGGAGUUCACUGAUCAAGCUGUUGUCCAUCACAGACC